rnacentral:rRNA from 1 species
GACGAACGCUGGCGGCGUGCUUAACACAUGCAAGUCGAACGGAAAGGCCCUGCUUUUGUGGGGUGCUCGAGUGGCGAACGGGUGAGUAACACGUGAGUAACCUGCCCUUGACUUUGGGAUAACUUCAGGAAACUGGGGCUAAUACCUGAUUGGAGCUCCUGCUGCAUGGUGGGGGUUGGAAAGUUUCGGCGGUUGGGGAUGGACUCGCGGCUUAUCAGCUUGUUGGUGGGGUAGUGGCUUACCAAGGCUUUGACGGGUAGCCGGCCUGAGAGGGUGACCGGCCACAUUGGGACUGAGAGACGGCCCAGACUCCUACGGGAGGCAGCAGUGGGGAAUAUUGCACAAUGGGCGGAAGCCUGAUGCAGCAACGCCGCGUGCGGGAUGACGGCCUUCGGGUUGUAAACCGCUUUCGCCUGUGACGAAGCGUGAGUGACGGUAAUGGGUAAAGAAGCACCGGCUAACUACGUG